rnacentral:rRNA from 1 species
GACGAACGCUGGCAGCGUGCCUAAUACAUGCAAGUAGAACGCUGAAGCGAGGAGCUUGCUCUUCUUGGGUGAGUUGCGCACGGGUGAGUAACGCGUAGGUAACCUGCCUUGUAGCGGGGGAUAACUAUUGGAAACGAUAGCUAAUACCGCAUAACAAUGGAUGACACAUGUCAUUUAUUUGAAAGGGGCAAUUGCUCCACUACAAGAUGGACCUGCGUUGUAUUAGCUAGUAGGUGAGGUAAUGGCUCACCUAGGCGACGAUACAUAGCCGACCUGAGAGGGUGAUCGGCCACACUGGGACUGAGACACGGCCCAGACGCCUACGGGAGGCAGCAGGAGGGAAUCUUCGGCAAUGGGGGCAACCCUGACCGAGCAACGCCGCGUGAGUGAAGAAGGUUGUCGGAUCGUAAAGCUCUGUUGUAAGUCAAGAACGGGUGUGAGAGUGGAAAGUUCACACUGUGACGGUAGCUUACCAGAAAGGGACGGCUAACUACGUG